rnacentral:rRNA from 1 species
AUGCGCAAGGGCCUCGCCUCCGCGACCCUCCUCGUCCCAUGGAUGAUAUGGAAGCACCGCAACGACUGCGUCUUCAACAGAGGCCAGCCCUUGACGACCGACCUGCUCACGAAGAUCAAAGACGAGGCCAUCCUCUGGGCCAGAGCCGGCGCCCUCGGGCUUCGUGCCAUCUUGCCUCAAACCUGGGACGUGCACUGA